rnacentral:lncRNA from 1 species
GGAUCAAAAGCAGAAAUUUAGAAAAGACUAAAUGUCCUGUUAAUCACAAGAGAAUCAAGGGGACUACUUGAAAAUAGAGGGUGUUUGGAACUUUCAUGAUUCAGUUUAAGAGGAUUUAGGUAAACUUAUUCUGCUUAAUGAUCAUGAAGCUGCAGAGAUCUCCACAAUUACUCUGUAGCUAAGCCAUUUAAUAAAAAUGUCAUUGCUUCCUUGAUACUGAGGAAGCACAAAGGCAGCAAAA